CCAAUCGAACUCGGAUAUAGCUGGUUCUCCUCGAAAUAGCUUUAGGGCUAGCCUCAAGGUAAAGAUACACGGGGGUAGAGCACUGACUGUUCGCGGGGCCUUCACCGGUUACCAACAACUAUCAAACUCCGAAUACCGUGCUAUCAUACUUGGGAGUCAGACUAUGAGAGAUAAGUUCCAUGGUCGAAAGGGAAACAGCCCAGAUCAACAGCUAAGGUCCCAAAGAGUAAGUUAAGUGGAAAAGGAUGUGGGAUUGCACAAACAGCUAGGAUGUUGGCUUAGAAGCAGCCAUACAUUUAAAGAGUGCGUAAUAGCUCACUAGUCGAGUGAUCCUGCGCCGAAGAUAAACGGGGCUCAAACUUACCACCGAAGCUUUGGAAUUAGUAUAACUAAUUGGUAGAGGAGCAUUCUAUACAGGUAGAAGGAGGCGCGUAAGCAAAUCUGGACGGUAUAGAAGAGAGAAUGUUGGCAUGAGUAGCGUAAGGCGGGUGAGAAUCCCGUCCGCCGAAAAUCUAAGGUUUCCUGAGGAAGGUUCGUCCUCUCAGGGUAAGUCGGGACCUAAGCCGAGAGCGAACGCUGUAGGCGAUGGAUAACAGGUUGAUAUUCCUGUACCACCAAGGAUUGUUUGAAUGAAGUGGGGACACAGAAGGAUAGAUUGAGCACGCCGUUGGUUGAGCGUGUCCAAGCAGUGAGGCUUGAAAGUAGGCAAAUCCGCUUUCUAUAAGGUUGAGCUGUGAUGGGGUGGUCGUAUGACCGGUAGCAAUCGAUUUCACGCUGUCAAGAAAAGCCGCUAAUGAGAUCCAAGGUGCCCGUACCGCAAACCGACACAGGUAGAUGAGGAGAGAAUCCUAAGGUGAGCGAGAGAACUAUUGUUAAGGAACUCGGCAAAAUAACCCCGUAACUUCGGGAGAAGGGGUGCCUGCUUCGGCAGGCCGCAGUGAAGAGGUCCAGGCAACUGUUUACCAAAAACACAGGUCUCUGCUAAAGCGAAAGCUGAUGUAUAGGGGCUGACGCCUGCCCGGUGCUGGAAGGUUAAGGGGAAGUGUUAGGGCAACCGAAGCACAGAACUUAAGCCCCAGUAAACGGCGGCCGUAACUAUAACGGUCCUAAGGUAGCGAAAUUCCUUGUCGGGUAAGUUCCGACCCGCACGAAAGGCGUAAUGAUCUGGGCACUGUCUCAACAAUAGACUCGGUGAAAUUGUAGUACCGGUAAAGAUGCCGGUUACCCGCAGCAGGACGGAAAGACCCCGUGGAGCUUCACUGUAGCUUGAUAUUGAUUUUCGGCAUUGCAUGUACAGGAUAGGUGGGAGACGUUGAGUUCAGCACGCCAGUGUUGGAGGAGUCACCGUUGGGAUACCACCCUUGUAAUGUUGGAAAUCUAACCUAGUACCGUGAUCCGGUACAGGGACAGUGUCAGGUGGGCAGUUUGACUGGGGCGGUCGCCUCCUAAAGAGUAACGGAGGCGCCCAAAGGUUCCCUCAGCGCGGUCGGAAAUCGCGCGUAGAGUGCAAAGGCAGAAGGGAGCUUGACUGCGAGACAUACAAGUCGGGCAGGGACGAAAGUCGGGCUUAGUGAUCCGGUGGUUCCGAGUGGAAGGGCCAUCGCUCAACGGAUAAAAGCUACCCCGGGGAUAACAGGCU
rnacentral:rRNA from 1 species